rnacentral:rRNA from 1 species
UACGUAGGGUGCGAGCGUUAAUCGGAAUUACUGGGCGUAAAGCGUGCGCAGGCGGUUAUUUAAGUCAGGUGUGAAAGCCCUGGGCUUAACCUAGAAUUGCGCUUGAGACUGGAUAGCUUGGAGUGCGGCAGAGGGAGGUGGAAUUCCACGUGUAGCAGUGAAAUGCGUAGAGAUGUGGAGGAACACCGAUGGCGAAGGCAGCCUCCUGGGCCAGCACUGACGCUCAUGCACG